ACCAAGGGAGGGUAAGAAUGACAACAAAGUCAUAGCACGGCUAGGAGUAGAAACUCAAAUAGGAUGGCUAAACUGGCGAUGCUCGUCUUGGUGAUGGCCCUGUUGAUCACUGCACCUUCAGGAGAAACUUCAACGGCAGAAAGCCAUGAAAGGGAUGCCUCCAAAGCGACAAAGAGUCACAUGCACGGCAGGAUGAGAGUUCUGACGGAUGUUCAGGACUACGACUACGGAGGAGC